GGGCUUAUAGUUUAAGGGUAAAACGUACUGCUCAUAACGGUUUUAAUGUAGGUUCAAAUCCUACUUAGCCUA
rnacentral:tRNA from 1 species